AUGCGUCGCUUCGAACCCUGCAGACUCCAGGAAGACUGGGCGGGGUUCCAGCCCCAGAGCCGGACGCGAAACAGCCGGGGGGGGGGGGUGGGGGGGGGGCGGGGGGCGGGGCCCGGCCACUGCAGCUCCGGACAGAAGCGGGCGCUGCGGGGCAGGCCAGGACCGCGGCUCCGCCCGCGCCAACCUCUGGGUCCCUGGGCGGAAGCAAACGCGUUUCCAAGAGCCUCACCAGCAUUCCCCGGCAGUUUUCUGGGGGUGAGCAGUGGAGGUCAGUCUCUGAGCAGCGGACAAAAACAUAUUGAGGAGCAGUCAUACCCUGUGUGCCCAGGAACCCAAGGAGGAUGAGCUGGCAGAGGUCCUGAACACAGGCUGCAGGAUGUGCUCUUCUCAGUGACAGUAGGUAAAUAGUAACUGGCUCCCAAAAAAACUGGCCCUGCAAGCCAAUAAAUAGCUGACAGCAUAACCUGAAAAACA
rnacentral:lncRNA from 1 species